UCUAGUAGCUGGUUCCCUCCGAAAUUUCCCUCAGGAUAGCUGCAACCAUAAAUCAAUUUUAUCAGGUAAAGCGAAUGAUUAGAGGUUCCGGGGAAGAAAUUUCCUCGGCCUAUUCUCAAACUUUAAAUGGGUAAGAACUCGGGGUUGCUUAAUUGAACCCUGCGGUUGAAUGAUGGUUGCUAGUGGGCCACACGGGGUAAGCUCGUUUGGCGAUGCGGGAUGAUCCGAACGGCGAGUUAAAGUGCCAAAGUACUUGCUCACCUAGAUCCCACAAAAGGUGUUGGUUCAUUUUGACAGCAGGACGGUGGCCAUGGAAGUCGGAAUCCGCUAAGGAGUGUGUAACAA
rnacentral:rRNA from 10 species